GACGAACGCUGGCGGCGUGCUUAACACAUGCAAGUCGAGCGGAGCGGCGAACGGGUGAGUAACGCGUGAGUAACUGCCCCCCUAUCUGGGAUAACAGUUGGAAACGGCUGCUAAUACCGGAUAGUGGGGGAUGACGCGCGUCCUAUCAGCUUGUUGGUGGGGUAGUGGCCUACCAAGGCGACGACGGGUAGCCGGCCUGAGAGGGGGACCGGCCAAAUUGGGCUGAGAUACGGCCCAGACGCCUACGGGGUGCAGCAGUGGGGAAUAGUGCGCAAGGGGGGAAACCCUGAUGCAGCGACGCCGCGGUCGUGAUGACGGCCUUCGGGUUGUAAACCGCUUUCAGCCAUGACGCGGUAGUGGCAGAAGAAGCACCGGCUAACUACGUGCCAGCCGCCGCGGUAAUUC
rnacentral:rRNA from 1 species